ensembl:lncRNA
UGGUGUUAUUCCACUUCCUUUUUUCCUGUCCUAAACUCCAGAGGUGUUAAAAAGAGGGUAAGGUCCUUCCUUGGGAUGGAUUUUGUGGUCCCAACCACAGGAAUUUCGCAUGACUUUGGUGCAUAAGUAAUUGCUAUCAUGAAAAUUCCUGAUUUUUCAAAAAUAAAUGAUGCAUAAAAGGCACAUAAAAGUUCAGUUAAUAAGUCCCAACGCGUUCAAGAACAUAUCUUAGCUCAGCCAAUGGAACUAGUUUUUUAUUCAGUGGAGGCCUCUUAAAUGCAUUGCCUCAGUGCACAGUAAAUCUGUUCUUUUAGCAGGUUUAUUCCUUUAUCUGGUAGUCAAUUAAGUGGCCUUUCAUGAAAUGUAGCAAUGACAUACAUUUGUGGACGGAGGUAUAUUCUUAUAACUUGUCUGAUUAUCUCUGGGAUUUCUCAUGUUUUAUUUAUGAGUAUUAUUUCGUGAGUAGGUUUAUGCCUUCAUCAAGUAAUCAUGAACACAUUUUAAGUAUAAAUAUAAGUCUCUAGCAACUGGAAACCACCAUGGUUUUAACAACGUUCAUUCUUGCACAAAUAUCUCAUUCAAUUUUCAGGGAAUUGUAUUUUGAGAAUAAAAUUUAUUUUGUCAUUUUCCCUCCUCACUUUCCAAAUUGUAAAACCUAUACUACAAAGAGAAGCAAUCAUCGCUGUUGCAUGCAUUCGACUAAAUAUUUCUAGCUAUAGAAAUGCCACCAGCUUAUUUCAUACACGUAAGAUGAACUGAGAGAAAAGCUUUUAAAAUGCACCAGCAUCGAUGAUAACUCCUCAACCUAAGAGGAACUUCACAGAAUAAAUGUCAGAAAAUACAUUGACAUGCUUGCAGGACAGAGAAUGUAAUCAGAUUUUUAAUGUUCUGGAUAUUAGAGUUCUGUUGUUGCUUGUUUUCGUUAAACUUUCAAUCUAACUGAUGAAUCACUUUUUCCCCACCACAAAAAUAAAGAAAAUUAAAAGUAAGUUAUUAUUCUCCCUUCAGAGAUCAAAUCUUCAAUUAAAUUUUGCACAUAAACAAAACAAAUGAAAUAUUAUAUGGAUCAAAAAUUUUAAUUUCCCCUCUAAACUGAUCAUUAAGCUACCAUUUUGAGCAACCAUCCUUUGUUUCAUUGAAUAUUUUUUUAAUUUGCCAUUAUUUUGGAAAUAAUUAAAGAAACAAUGUGGUUGGAUGAUAUUAUAACCCAACACCACUAUUAUCUUUAAAUGUAGGCACAGCCCAAUCUACAAAUGAAUUAGCUGUUCUUAAAUUAAGGAAUAUUAUGAGUCAGUAAUGGUAUGACAUUCUUUUUUAUGACUAUAGCUUGGGUUAUAAUGUGACAAGAAAAAAAAUGUAAUGUUACCAAAAUGACAGUUUUUAGAUUUGUGUUGCCUGAGGUAGUUCAGCUGAACAAUAAACUAUAAUUUGAUUGAUGGAAAAUUGAAGUGGUUCAUCUAAUCUGCCAGUCUAGCCUACCGCAGCUUUGGUUUUGCAUGUAUGAUGAUAUAUCACAGUUUUAGAGGUAAUGUUGUUUGCAUUAGACAGGAGAUUUUUUUUCCUCCCACAUAAAAACAGAGAACUUUAUUACAUAGGAAUGAUCAAAAUAUGCCAUGGAUUUAGCAUGGAAUCAAAUUUGUAAGUCCAAGUGUACAAAAACUAAGUGAUAUAAAUAAAGCCUUAGAACGUAGUUAUUUAUUGAGGGUAAAUUUGGCCAUAUACUGGCCAUGGAAUUAUUCGAUCUGAGGUAGAUUGACAUCUGCAGGUGAGAAAAGCAAUCAGACUAUAGCUAUUUCACCUUUAUUUUAAACAAAUGCUGUCUUGGUCAAGAGAAAUCUUAUAAACAUCAAUUAUAACAACUCCUAAACUCUAGAGAGGAAAAUGUGCUUUGAAAAAUAAGAAAAGAGUAAUAACUAAAUCUAAACACCUUAACCAUAUGCAAAUUCAAAUAAUAAAUUGGUAAUCAAAGACCAUGAGGCUAUUUAUAAUUAACUGCUGAAUAUUGAUGAUUUCUCCGAUUUAACCAAGGCAAAUUGAAAUUAAGAUUCCUGAGUUAAUUUCAGAGUAUAAUUUUAAACAGGAUGGUUCUGGUUUAUCUUCUGUUAUUAGCAGGCUAUCACAACAACUUUUGAAUAUAUGUAUAUCAUUCAAAAAUAAUAAGAAAAUGAGUCCCACUAUUUUUGUCUUGAAAUUAACACAGAAGAUUAAAUGUAUACAGAUGUUUCAAGUUACUGAAAAUUUUACUAAAAACAUCCAGGAAUGAAUUUCAAAAUAUCCCAGUUAGGAAUACAUCUGCAAGCAGAGAAGUUAAAUAUUUCAAAAGGAAAUUAUAGGAUUGGAAUGGGAAAUUUCAUACAUCAUUUUCUCCUUUAUUUGGGAAUGAAUAAUGGUCAUUGGAAAGGAAACCAUCAAAAACAAUUGAGAAGGUUUGAUAUUUCUGGCCUAUAUGAUUUAUCCAAAGUAAAAUAGCAGUGGGAGCAUUUUCACCUAUCAACUAAACAAAACAUUUUAAGCAUUCAUUAACAUUUAAGUAGUCAGUACUGCUAGUUUAUUGUGAAAUGAGUGUUCAUAUAACAAGGUUGGAAGUGGAAACGACUGCUACCUUUCUGGAAAACAAUUUGAAAAUAUAAGUAUCAUUUCUUGAGUGCUUACAAUGUUCUGGGCUCUGUGCUAUCCAUGUAUUUGCUAAAGUGUAAAUUUUAUUGGUUUCUAUCAGGAGCCAUAAAAACGUUCAUAGCUUCUGACUCAUUAAUUCUAAUUUUAAGAAUAUAUCUUAAGAAAAUCAAAAAUAGUAUGAUAUAUGUAUAUAUUCAUUGUAACAUCACUUACGUGGGAAAAAUUGAAGAUAAUCAUAGUGUUCAGAAAUUAUUUAAUUAUGCUAUAUCUCUUUGAUCACAUCUUAUGAUUAUUCAGCCACUGAAAAUCACUUUAUAUAGAAUAUUUUAUAGCAUGCAAAUUUUUAUCAUAUAUUAGGCUAGAAAAUCAGGAAACAAAAUCGUAGUCAUUAUACAUAUUAAAAGAAAACUAUAUAAAAUUAGAAUAGUGAAGAGUAUAAAGAGUCGGUGGAAAUAUACAUUUUUCUUUUCUUCUUUAAACUUUUCUAUAUUUCCAGACAUUUUUUGAUCAACAUGCCCUACUUUCAUAAAUGGAAAAGAAAAAUCAUUAUUUCUCUCAUUUUCACUUUAUCCCUACCUGCCUACAUUGGCAUAUGAGGUCCUUCACAAGAGAGUGGAAAUACCAUAAUCUUUGGGAUUAGGCAGAUGUGGCUUGAAAUACUAGUUUCACUACUUGCUAGAGUGUCCUGAGCUUGUUAGCUAACCUCUCCGGUCUUCAAUUUCUUCAAUGCAAAAUAAAUUAACAAACUUAUGUAAAAGAUUCAGUGAGGAGAGACUGAUCAACAUUAACGUCAACGAGGAAGAGGGUCCUAGGAAAGAUUUUAACACGAAAGUAAUGUUUAAGUAGUCCUGGAGGAUGAGCUGGCUGUGUAGACAUGUCACCAGAAGAAUGAUGUUCCAAGCAGAAGGUACAUGGUGAAAACGGAGAC